rnacentral:rRNA from 1 species
UACGGGGGGGGGCAAGCGUUGUUCGGAAUUACUGGGCGUAAAGGGCUUGUAGGUGGCCAACUAAGUCAAACGUGAAAUCCCUCGGCUUAACCGGGGAACUGCGUCUGAUACUGGAUGGCUCGAGUGUGGGAGAGGGAUGCGGAAUUCCAGGUGUAGCGGUGAAAUGCGUAGAUAUCUGGAGGAACACCGGUGGCGAAGGCGGCAUCCUGGACCAUAACUGACACUGAUAAGCGAAAGCCAGGGGAGCAAACGGG